rnacentral:rRNA from 1 species
GACGAACGCUGGCGGCGUGCUUAACACAUGCAAGUCGAGCGGAAAGGCCCUUCGGGUUACUCGAGCGGCGAACGGGCGAGUAACACGUGAGUAACCUGCCCCAGACUUUGGGAUAACCCUCGGAAACGGGGGCUAAUACCGGAUACGACACAGCUUUGCUUGGGGUCUGUGUGGAAUGUUUUUCGGUUUGGGAUGGGCUCGCGGCCUAUCAGCUUGUUGGUGGGGUGAUGGCCUACCAAGGCGACGACGGGUAGCCGGCCUGAGAGGGCGACCGGCCACACUGGGACUGAGAAACGGCCCAGACUCCUACGGGAGGCAGCAGUGGGGAAUAUUGCACAAUGGGCGGAAGCCUGAUGCAGCGACGCCGCGUGAGGGAUGACGGCCUUCGGGUUGUAAACCUCUUUCAGCAGGGACGAAGCGUAAGUGACGGUACCUGCAGAAGAAGCGCCGGCCAACUACGUG